GAUGAAGAACGCAGCGAAAUGCGAUAAGUAGUGUGAAUUGCAGAAUUCAGUGAAUCAUCGAAUCUUUGAACGCACAUUGCGCCCGCCAGUAUUCUGGCGGGCAUGCCUGUUCGAGCGUCAUUUCAACCCUCAGGGCCCUUUUGGACCUGGCGUUGGGGCUCGGCCGCUACCCUGCGGCCGUCCCCGAAAGAUAGUGGCGGUCUCGCUGUAGCCUCCUCUGCGUAGUAGUUACAUCUCGCACUGGAACGCGGCGCGGCCAUGCCGUUAAACACCCCACUUCUCAAGGUUGACCUCGGAUCAGGUAGGAAUACCCGCUGAACUUAAGCAUAUCAAUAAGCGGAGGA
rnacentral:misc_RNA from 1 species